rnacentral:rRNA from 1 species
UACAGAGGUCUCAAGCGUUGUCCGGAUUUAUUGGGCGUAAAGAGCGUGUAGGCGGCUUGGUAGGUCCGCUGUGAAAACUCGAGGCUCAACCUCGAGAUGUCGGCGGAAACCACUUGGCUAGAGUCCGGAAGAGGAGAGUGGAAUUCCUGGUGUAGCGGUGAAAUGCGCAGAUAUCAGGAAGAACACCUAUGGCGAAGGCAGCUCUCUGGGACGGUACUGACGCUGAGACGCGAAAGCGUGGGGAGCGAACAGG